rnacentral:rRNA from 1 species
CAUCGGGUUGAGGGAAAAGGAGCAAUCCGCUUUGAGAUGGCCUCGCGUCCGAUUAGCUAGUUGGUGAGGUAACGGCCCACCAAGGCGACGAUCGGUAGCCGGACUGAGAGGUUGAACGGCCACAUUGGGACUGAGACACGGCCCAGACUCCUACGGGAGGCAGCAGUGGGGAAUAUUGCACAAUGGGGGAAACCCUGAUGCAGCGACGCCGCGUGGAGGAAGAAGGUCUUCGGAUUGUAAACUCCUGUUGUUGAGGAAGAUAAUGACGGUACUCAACAAGGAAGUGACGGCUAACUACGUGCCAGCAGCCGCGGUAAAACGUAGGUCACAAGCGUUGUCCGGAAUUACUGGGUGUAAAGGGAGCGCAGGCGGGAAGACAAGUUGGAAGUGAAAUCCAUGGGCUCAACCCAUGAACUGCUUUCAAAACUGUUUUUCUUGAGUAGUGCAGAGGUAGGCGGAAUUCCCGGUGUAGCGGUGGAAUGCGUAGAUAUCGGGAGGAACACCAGUGGCGAAGGCGGCCUACUGGGCACCAACUGACGCUGAGGCUCGAAAGUGUGGGUAGCAAACAGGAUUAGAUACCCUGGUAGUCCACACCGUAAACGAUGAAUACUAGGUGUUGGAGGAUUGACCCCUUCAGUGCCGCAG